UGGGGAAUAUUGCACAAUGGGCGCAAGCCUGAUGCAGCCAUGCCGCGUGUAUGAAGAAGGCCUUCGGGUUGUAAAGUACUUUCAGCGGGGAGGAAGGGAGUAAAGUUAAUACCUUUGCUCAUUGACGUUACCCGCAGAAGAAGCACCGGCUAACUCCGUGCCAGCAGCCGCGGUAAUACGGAGGGUGCAAGCGUUAAUCGGAAUUACUGGGCGUAAAGCGCACGCAGGCGGUUUGUUAAGUCAGAUGUGAAAUCCCCGGGCUCAACCUGGGAACUGCAUCUGAUACUGGCAAGCUUGAGUCUCGUAGAGGGGGGUAGAAUUCCAGGUGUAGCGGUGAAAUGCGUAGAGAUCUGGAGGAAUACCGGUGGCGAAGGCGGCCCCCUGGACGAAGACUGACGCUCAGGUGCGAAAGCGUAGGGAGCAAACAGGAUUAGAUACCCUGGUAGUCCACGCCGUAAACGAUGUCGACUUGGAGGUUGUGCCCUUGAGGCGUGGCUUCCGGAGCUAACGCGUUAAGUCGACCGCCUGGGGAGUACGGCCGCAAGGUUA
rnacentral:rRNA from 1 species